rnacentral:rRNA from 1 species
AUUGAACGCUGGCGGCAUGCCUUACACAUGCAAGUCGAACGGCAGCACGGGUGCUUGCACCUGGUGGCGAGUGGCGAACGGGUGAGUACUACAUCGGAACGUACCUUAUCGUGGGGGAUAACGCAGCGAAAGCUGUGCUAAUACCGCAUACGCCCUGAGGGGGAAAGCGGGGGAUCGAAAGACCUCGCGCGAUUAGAGCGGCCGAUGCCUGAUUAGCUUGUUAGUGGGGUAAAAGCCCACCAAGGCGACGAUCAGUAGCUGGUCUGAGAGGACGACCAGCCACUCUGGGACUGAGAGACGGCCCAGGCUCGUACGGGAGGCAGCAGUGGGGAAUUUUGGAGAAUGGUGGCAACCCUGAUCCAGCAAGGCCUCGUGGGUGAAGAAGGCCUUCGGGUUGUAAAGCUCUUUUGUCAGGGAAGAAACACCGGCUCUAACACAGUCCGGGAAUGACGGUACCUGAAGAAUAAGCACCGGCUAACUACGUGCCAGCAGCCGCCGUAA